UACGGAGGGUGCAAACGUUGCUCGGAAUUAUUGGGCGUAAAGCGCACGUAGGCGGCUUGGCAAGUUGGAUGUGAAAGCCCUAGGCUCAACCAAGGAAGUGCAUCCAAAACUGUCUGGCUUGAAUCCCGGAGGGGGCCAGAGAAUUCCCGGUGUAGAGGUGAAAUUCGUAGAUAUCGGGAGGAAUACCAGUGGCGAAGGCGCUGGCCUGGACGGUGAUUGACGCUGAGGUGCGAAAGCGUGGGGAGCGAACAGG
rnacentral:misc_RNA from 1 species